rnacentral:rRNA from 1 species
AUUGAACGCUGGCGGCAGGCCUAACACAUGCAAGUCGAACGAGUGGCGGACGGGUGAGUAAUGUCUGGGAAACUGCCUGAUGGAGGGGGAUAACUACUGGAAACGGUAGCUAAUACUGCAUACCAUUAGAUGUGCCCAGAUGGGAAUAGCUUGGUGGUGGGGUAACGGCGCACCAAGGCGACGAUCCCUAGCUGGUCGGAAAGGAUGCCCAGCGACACUAGAACUGCGACACGGUCCAGACUCCGACGGGAGGCAGCAGUGGGGAAUAUUGAACAAUGGGCGCAAGCCUGAUGCAGCCAUGCCGCGUGUAUGAAGAAGGCCUUCGGGGUGUAAAGUACUUUCAGCGGGGAGGCGUUACCCGCAGAAGAAGCACCGGCUAACUCCGUGCCAGCAGCCGCGGUAAUUC